rnacentral:rRNA from 1 species
CUACGGGCGGCUGCAGUGGGGAAUAUUGGACGAUGGGGGAAACCCUGAUCCAGCAAUGCCGCGUGUGUGAAGAAGGCCUGCGGGUUGUAAAGCACUUUCGGUUGGGAGGACUGCUUCUAGCACUAAUAUUGUUGGAAGUUGACGUUACCUUCAGAAGAAGCACCGGCUAACUCCGUGCCAGCAGCCGCGGCAAUACGGGAGGGUGCAAGCGUUAAUCGGGAUUACUGGGCGUAAAGCGCGCGUAGGCGGCUAGAUCAGUCGGGUGUGAAAGCCCCGGGCUUAACCUGGGAACUGCAUCCGAUACUGUCUAGCUUGAGUACAGGAGAGGAGAGUGGAAUUCCACAUGUAGCGGUGAAAUGCGUAGAUAUGUGGAGGAACACCAAUGGCGAAGGCAGCUCUCUGGCCUGAUACUGACGCUGAGGUGCGAAAGCGUGGGGAGCAAAUAGGAUUAGAUACCCUAGUAGUC